rnacentral:lncRNA from 10 species
CUUAGAGUUUAUUAAACUUUGAUCCUUUUGCUUGCGUAUGAGGAGAACUCAAAUAGUCAAAGUUAAUCAGCAACUUAGCAGCAAAGUCAGAACAGAACUUCGUGUGUCUAGAACCCAAAUUCCUUGAGCAUGAAAUUUAUAAUGCACUGGCAGAGAGGGAAGCCUGACAAGCAGCCGUCUGGAGGGACCUGUUUGCCUGGGUGACAUUUGCAGUCCACACUGUCCUGGUUUCUGGAUUCAGAAGGUUUGGUGUCUGUCUACAGGGACACACAGCCCUCUGGUGCUGGCGCGGAUCGUGAACAGGAGCAGACUGAAGACUGAGAGUUAGAGGAGCUGAAAGUCUGUGGUUAAUUUAACCUAGAGGGCGACUUAUUUUGAUGGGCUGAACCUUCCACCUUCCUUCAAACGAGUAUUCUGAGUCUUUGGACCACAGCUGCUGUUUUCCCCCGACAAUGUGAAGUGGAAAGAGCUUUUCCUAUUUUACAUUAAAUGAAGGAUGUGCUGAAUAUAAUUUCCUCACCUGUAAAGAAAAACUUUCUCAAACACAAUCUCUUCGUGAUUCUAGAAAUCACCAGCCCAGGUCAAUGCAUCUUAGUUAACAAAAAAUAGCUGAAUAAACUGCAGAAAAGCUCGAACUGCUUGAAGUCAUUGGGAAGCAAUCAAUACACAUAAGGAAUUGAGGAGAAACAACCCUGAAGAAAAGGAAAUUACAAAGCACUGAGCCUGAAAUUCUGCCUGGAAUUUCCUCUCUGAGCGCUUGUUAAAUUCUACACUGAUAAGGGGUGAGUAGCCUAGAAAUCAAAAGAAAAUAGCUUCUAAGAAGCUAAACCCCAAGCAGAGCUGAACAGACAAACACUCUGGUAGGUAUCACAGGUUUCCAAGAGAAAAAUCUUAAAGAGCCCCACUUCACGGGUAGACGGUGACAUUAAAAAUGAACAAGCUAUCACAAAGUCACUUCAGUCUCUGCUUGCAUCAAAGUGAGCUUUUGUCAUUGUAACUAUGGG